rnacentral:rRNA from 1 species
UAGUCCACGCCGUAAACGAUGAUAACUAGCUGUCCGGGCUCAUAGAGCUUGGGUGGCGCAGCUAACGCAUUAAGUUAUCUGCCUGGGGAGUACGGUCGCAAGAUUAAAACUCAAAGGAAUUGACGGGGGCCUGCACAAGCGGUGGAGCAUGUGGUUUAAUUCGAUAAUCCGCGCAAAACCUUACCAAUCCUUGAAUAUAACGUUACAAAUUAAACAGGUGUUGCACGACUGUCGUCAGCUCGUGUUGUGAAGCGUUUGGUUCAUUCCAACAAACGGACGAAACUCUUUUAUAUUAUAAAAUAUAUAUUGCUAAAGAUAUUUUAGAUGAAAGAAAGAAUGACGCCAAGUCCUCAUGACCCUAAUAAAUUGGGCUACUUCACGUGCUACAAUAGUUUUUCAAAAGUAAGACAAAAUGUAAGUUUUAGCAAAUCUUCAAAAAAUUGAGUUCGGAUUGUUUUCUGAAAUUCGAAAACAUUAAGUUGGAAUUGCUAGUAAUCGUAAAUAAGAAUGUUACGGUGAAUUUGUUCUUAGGCCUUGUACACACCGCCCG